rnacentral:lncRNA from 1 species
CAGCGCGUGAGUCAUGCGGGGGUGGGCGUGAGGGACGGGGCGGCAGUCCCUCGGAGGUAACCCCACACUCCGGGGCAGCGGACCCCGGUUCCCGAAAGAACCUCGCAAAACGCGGAGAGUGGGACUGGGUUUGGCAAUUUUUGGAGAAUGAUGGAGCCUCUGACAACACUCAGAAGAGGAGCUUCUGGUUCUUCUGUUAAGACCAUAAAUGGACUCAGAACAGAGUUGCAGAUGGAAUGCCCAACAUGACUUGCAUGCAUGUCAGUCGACUCCAUCCAGUUACCCUGUUACAAGGCAACACCUUGGCUUUAGAAGAAGCAUGCUGUUGUAAUGGAUGUGAUUUCUUCAUGCCUUUAAAUUUGUCAUUUCACAACCAAAAGAUUAUUUUCC